GAGAGUCUUGUGUUUCACUUGUUCCUAUUACAGUCCUUGGGGAAUCCUGAGUGGUUCCAUCUGGAGACACAGGCAGUCCAGCCAGAGCUUCACUGAAACACCCAUGUUCCUCCUCCCAACCCCUUCCUUUGCCACGUCGGCUUGCUGCAAGCCUGCAUUUUUGUAUCGUUUAUACUUUUCAAGGUACACGUCUCACGACAACACUGGCAGCUUUCAAUUUAUUAGGCUUAUUAGCAAAUAAAACUGUCCUGAGAAGCCCAGAUCCGAUAGCUAGAAGAUUCAUUUCAGGAUUGAUUUAAUGCAACCUGCCUCGUAGUUUAUUUCCAUCUCCAGGUUGGGACUAAAUCACCCUCGUACUGUUGAUAUACCCUUAAUAUGAUGGUUGGUGUUUGCAAAAUAGACCAGGCUGUAAAAGAAUCUGAAGACUCUAGUUGCUUCCAUUAAAAAAGAGAGAGCGAGAGAGAGAUGAUAAAAAUACUUUAUAACUUUAUGUGUCUAGGAGAUUCUGGGUUUUUUCUUUUUCUUUUUUUCUUCUGUGCUAUCAGUGAUGUCGUUUGAAUCUAAAUAGUGGCCAAUAUAUUCAGGGAUGGGGUGCUUCUUAACCAUUGAUUUGCAGCAGUGGGAAAUCACCCAUUUUCCCUGGAAUCACCACUCUGCAGGAAGGACUGGUGACAUCUGGCACUUGAUGUGACAACCCUAGAGACGCACCAUCCAGAAACAUUCCAUCACUGAAGUCUUCUUGUUCUUAAGCCCUGGGCGGCCAUCAUACUUUUUCAAGAUGAAGACUUGAACAAACCUGUUAUUACCACACCAGCCAGUGGCACUCGCCACGGGCUAUUAGCCUCUGUUAGCAUUUAUCACCUGCAUGUCAUUUGACACUUGUCCUUUAUCGCCUGACAAUCUAACUUAGCUUUCAUCUUAUCCUCCCCCACGAUAGUACCAUCUGCUGAGAAUAUGGGGCCCCAGAGUAAGUCCAAUCCAGUUUAAAUCCCAUCUCUGCCACUUAACUACUUGGGUAACCAUAGCUAUUUAACUUAACCCCUAAUUUCGAGUUGCUCCUUUGAAAACAUGGAUAAAAAUAGGGGAGUUCCCAUUGUGGCUCAGUGGGUUAAGGACCCGACAUAGGGUUUGCAAGGAUAUGUGUUUGAUCCCUGGCCAUGCUCAGUAGGUUAAGGAUCCAGUGUUGCCGUGGAUGUGAUGUAGGCCCCAGUUGCAGCUCCUACUCAACCUCUGGGAACUUCCAAAUGCUGCUGGUGCAGCCAUUAAAAAAAAAAAGAAAAGAAAAAAGGGAGUUCCCUGGUGGCUCAAUGGGUGAAGGAUCCAACGUUGUUGCUGCUGCGACUCGGGUCACUAUUGCAGCCCAGGUUUGAUCCCUGGCCCCAGGAACUUGGGCAUGCUGUGGGCACAGGGAAAAAAAAAAAGUAGGAUAAUACAGUUAAACUCAGUAAUGUAUGAAACCUCUCUAAUAGAGUGCCAAGCACGAGGAAUGUGUUUAAUAAAAAUCAGCCAUUACUAUCAUGAUUAAUAUAGGGAUAAUGAUAAUACGGACAGCAUAAAACCUGGUCUUAACUGUUACUUUCUGUUUUGUUUUCCAAAGUGCCGUGCAUAAGAGUAGAUAUUGUCAUAUCCCAUUUCAUUGCACUUUGAAGAGACUACAUUUUUAACACAUUGAACGUUCGUGGAAACCCUGCCUUGAGCAAGUCUAUUGGCAUCACUUUUCCACCUGCGUUUGCUCACUCUGUGCCUCUGGGUCACAUUUUGGUGAUUCUCACAAUGUAUCAAAUCCCCCAUCAGCAAAAAGUUUAUGAAGCACUGAGGGCUUAGAUGAUGGUUAGCGUUUUUCAGGAAUAAGGUACUUUUUAAUUAAGGUCUGUUCAUUGUUUUUUAGACAUAAUGCUCUUGCAUACUUAACAGACUGCAGUAUAAUAGCAUUUAUCUUAAAAGCUCAGUUUCACUGCCAUUUAAAAUUAUGCAUAUCCUAAAAUGAAACAGUGACCAAUAGAGAUGCUUGAGGCAGCUUGCCUUAACAGAAGAAGCGUUGCUCAAAGCCGUCCAGUGAGCUUGGAAUGCUUGGUUUUUCUGAGACCAAGUGUCCGUCGUGUCUGCCGUGGUAAAUUGCUUAGCCAAGCCUUCCUUCACUGGAUACAGGUAGAUCAUCUGAAGCCCUUCUGAAUUGGCAAAAAUUCCAAAUUUCUGAAGCGUGAGAAUUCACAAGUUUUACCGCAUUCCACGGAUGCUCAACAAAUAGCAGUCUAGCUGAAAUCCCUAAGCCAGGUACUUGCUCGUGCUCUUUCUGGUUAUCUAUUGUAAUACAGCAGUGCAGGGGCCAGAUAAUGCUGGCUCCCCACGGUGAAAUGUGCCGAAGCCCAGUGUGACAGCUACAGACCCGUCUCAUCCAUCCCAACCCUCACCUGCAGCAGGCCCGGACCCAUUGCCCAGGUGCCUCUACCUGGCCUGUUGCUGAUGUAUCUGCCCUCGGGCCCCGCCUCCCUCCCACCAGGCUCCCCAUUCCUGUGUGUCUCCAGGGCUUGGUAUGCCUGGGGAGGACAGCGUUCCGUGCCAUGGUCCCGCAGAGGAUCUGGAGGCCUCGCAUGUCUUCCAUUUGGAACAGGUGUCUCUGUCUUCCACAUUGGGAUAGAUUGGUUUCUGCUCCAGUUAUUCUACAGAGAAAGAGGUAAAGCAGAAUAAAGAGAUUAAAAAUCAAGUCAUAGCGUCUCAAUGCCCUGAAAGGGGGUUCUUACAAAUUACAGUACUCAGAUAGCGAGGUUUAUUCCAGAACAAGACAAUGUCACGUUAGCCAGAGCACAAUCUACCAUGCAUUUGUCCCUUACGAGGUUCCAGGCCAUGCGCUAGACACUUUAUAUGCCUUUCUCACCGUCUCCUAUUAAAUGCCCCUUUCUCUCACACAUUGAUGUCUGGUAUUAGAAUCCAACAUUCUCUAGAAAAGGCAGGUGUGAGAAUCCAUCCAUACAGACAGUUAAGUGCCAAGAAGAAUUUUUUAGAUCCUCUUGUACAUAGUUCUUAGAAUACAGUCUCACAUACUCUCAUGGUGGACAGAAGCAUAGCAAAUUGGAUGAAUUAGAAGUUCACCCUUCCUGGAGUUCCCGUUGUGGCACAGUGGUUAACGAAUCCAACUAGGAACCAUGAGGUUGCGGGUUCGAUCCCUGCCCUUGCUCAGUGGGUUAACGAUCCAGCGUUGCAGACGCAGCUCGGAUGCAGCGUUGCUGUGGCUCUGGCAUAGGCCGGUGGCUGCAGCUCCGAUUCAACCCCUAGCCUGGGAACCUCUAUAUGCCGCGGAGCGGCCCAAGAAAUAG
ensembl:lncRNA